rnacentral:rRNA from 1 species
UACGGAGGGUCCAAGCGUUAUCCGGAUUCACUGGGUUUACAGGGUGCGUAGGCGGGCAGGUAAGUCAGUGGUGAAAUCCCCGAGCUUAACUUGGGAACUGCCGUUGAUACUAUCUGUCUUGAAUACCGUGGAGGUGAGCGGAAUAUGUCAUGUAGCGGUGAAAUGCUUAGAUAUGACAUAGAACACCAAUUGCGAAGGCAGCUCGCUACACGAAUAUUGACUCUGAGGCACGAAAGCGUGGGGAUCAAACAGG